CCCUUAGAUGUUCUGGGCCGCACGCGCGCUACACUGAUGCAUUCAACGAGUGUACCUUGGCCGAGAGGCCUGGGCAAUCUUUUGAACGUGCAUCGUGAUAGGGAUAGAUUAUUGCAAUUAUUAAUCUUGAACGAGGAAUUCCUAGUAAACGCAGAUCAUCAAUCUGCAUUGAUUACGUCCCUGCCCUUUGUACACACCGCCCGACGCACCUACCGAUUGGAUGGUCCGGUGAAGCCUCGGGAUUGUGGCGGUUGCCUUUAUUGGUGGCCGCCGCGAGAACUUGUCUAAACCUUAUCAUCUAGAGGAAGGUGAAGUCGUAACA
rnacentral:rRNA from 1 species